GGUGAAGAACGUAGCGAAAUGCGAUAAGUAGUGUGAAUUGCAGAAUUCAGUGAAUCAUCGAAUCUUUGAACGCACAUUGCGCCCUUUGGUAUUCCAAAGGGCAUGCCUGUUCGAGCGUCAUUUGUACCCUCAAGCUUUGCUUGGUGUUGGGCGUCUUGUCUCUAGCUUUGCUGGAGACUCGCCUUAAAGUAAUUGGCAGCCGGCCUACUGGUUUCGGAGCGCAGCACAAGUCGCACUCUCUAUCAGCAAAGGUCUAGCAUCCAUUAAGCCUUUUUUUCAACUUUUGACCUCGGAUCAGGUAGGGAUACCCGCUGAACUUAAGCAUAUCAAUAAGCGGAGGA
rnacentral:misc_RNA from 1 species